rnacentral:rRNA from 1 species
GGGGAAUAUUGGACAAUGGGCGCAAGCCUGAUCCAGCCAUGCCGCGUGAGUGAUGAAGGCCCUAGGGUUGUAAAGCUCUUCCAACGGUGAAGAUAAUAACGGUAACCGUAGAAGAAGCCCCGGCUAACUUCGUGCCAGCAGCCGCGGUAAUACGAAGGGGGCUAGCGAUGUUCGGAAUUACUGGGCGUAAAGCGCGCGUAGGCGGAUUGAUCAGUUAGGGGUGAAAUCCCGGGGCUUAACCCCGGAACUGCCUUUAAUACUGUUGAUCUAGAGUUCGAGAGAGGUGAGUGGAAUUCCGAGUGUAGAGGUGAAAUUCGUAGAUAUUCGGAGGAACACCAGUGGCGAAGGCGGCUCACUGGCUCGAUACUGACGCUGAGGUGCGAAAGCGUGGGGAGCAAAC